GCGGCACUCUCGGAAUCAUGUCAUGUUAGCGACAGGAGAGUGAAGGUAGAAUUCCGUGGUAGCGUGAAUGCGUAGAGAUCGGGAGGAAUACCAGUGGCGAAGGCGGCCUUUGGACUGACACUGACCACUGAGUGCGAAAGCGUGGGUAGCAAACAGGAUUAGAUACCCUGGUAGUCCACGCCGUAAACGAUGUCGACCAGCCGUUGGGUGCCUAGCGCACUUUGUGGCGAAGUUAACGCGAUAAGUCGACCGCCUGGGGAGUACGGCCGCAAGGUUAAAACUCAAAUGAAUUGACGGGGGCCCGCACAAGCGGUGGAGCAUGUGGUUUAAUUCGAUGCAACGCGAAGAACCUUACCUACUCUUGACAUCCUGCGAAUUCGGUAGAGAUACCUUAGUGCCUUCGGGAACGCAGAGACAGGUGCUGCAUGGCUGUCGUCAGCUCGUGUUGUGAAAUGUUGGGUUAAGUCCCGUAACGAGCGCAACCCUUGUCCUUAUUUGCCAGCGCGUAAUGGCGGGAACUCUAAGGAGACUGCCGGUGACAAACCGGAGGAAGGUGGGGACGACGUCAAGUCAUCAUGGCCCUUACGAGUAGGGCUACACACGUGCUACAAUGGUCGGUACAAAGGGUUGCCAACUCGCGAGAGUGAGCCAAUCCCGAAAAGCCGAUCUCAGUCCGGAUCGGAGUCUGCAACUCGACUCCGUGAAGUCGGAAUCGCUAGUAAUCGUAGAUCAGAAUGCUACGGUGAAUACGUUCCCGGGCCUUGUACACACCGCCCGUCACACCAUGGGAGUGGACUGCACCAGAAGUGGUUAGCCUAACGCAAGAGGGCGAUCACCACGGUGUGGUUCAUGACUGGGGUGAAGUCGUAACAAGGUAACCGUAA
rnacentral:rRNA from 1 species